rnacentral:hammerhead_ribozyme from 1 species
AUCCAGCUGACGAGUUCCAAACAGGACGAAAUGCGCAUCCUGGAU